AACCUAGCACACCUGCGGUGUGUACCUGCGGAGGGAUCAUUACACUCAGUAGAUUCUUCUACUGCUCGGGGAGAGGGGAAAGUCUCUCCAGUCUGCUUCGGCGGCUGGCGAACGAGUACGCUCUCUUUUCGAACCCUUGUCUUUUUGCGUACUUCAUGUUUCCUCGGUGGGCUUGCCCGCCGGUUGGACAACUCAAUAACCUAUUUUAAUUUUCAAUCAGCGUCUGAAUAAAAUUAUAAU
rnacentral:misc_RNA from 1 species